CCCUUAGAUGUUCUGGGCCACACGCGCGCUACACUGGUACGUUCAACAAGUUUACAACCUUGAUCGAUAGGUCUGGGUAAUCUUUUUAAUGCGUACCGUGCUAGGGAUAGAUUAUUGCAAUUAUUAAUCUUGAACGAGGAAUUCCUAGUAAACGCAAGUCAUCAGCUUGCAUUGAUUACGUCCCUGCCCUUUGUACACACCGCCCGUCGCACCUACUGAUUGAAUGACUCGGUGAAAAAUUGGGACUGUGAGAACAAUCGAUUCAGUUCGAAUGUACUCGUGGAAACUUUUUUUAACCUCGCCAUUUAGAAGAAGGUGAAGUCGUANCA
rnacentral:rRNA from 1 species